rnacentral:rRNA from 1 species
GCCAGCAGCCAUAUCACCCUGUGAAGCCAAGCAGGGUUGAGCCUGGUCAGUACUUGGAUGGGAGACCUCCUGGGAAGCUGUGGUUGCUGCUGGAA